GAUGAACGCUGGCGGCGUGCUUAACACAUGCAAGUCGAACGGAAAGGCCACAGCUUGCUGUGGUACUCGAGUGGCGAACGGGUGAGUAACACGUGGGUGAUCUGCCCUGUACUUCGGGAUAAGCUUGGGAAACUGGGUCUAAUACCGGAUAGGAAUCACAUGUGGGUGUGUGGUUGGAAAGCUUUUGCGGUAUGGGAUGAGCUCGCGGCCUAUCAGCUUGUUGGUGGGGUAAUGGCCUACCAAGGCGUCGACGGGUAGCCGGCCUGAGAGGGUGUACGGCCACAUUGGGACUGAGAUACGGCCCAGACUCCUACGGGAGGCAGCAGUGGGGAAUAUUGCACAAUGGGCGCAAGCCUGAUGCAGCGACGCCGCGUGGGGAUGACGGCCUUCGGGUUGUAAACUCCUUUCGUCAGGGACGAAGCGAAAGUGACGGUACCUGGAUAAGAAGCACCGGCUAACUACGUG
rnacentral:rRNA from 1 species